GCCCAAUGUGGGGAGUUUGCAGAACCAACCGCCUUGAGCGGGCGAUGGCGCGAGCCGUGUGAGUUCGAGUCUCACCGUCGGCACCA
rnacentral:tRNA from 1 species